AACGAACGCUGGCGGCAUGCCUAACACAUGCAAGUCGAACGAAGUCUUCGGACUUAGUGGCGCACGGGUGCGUAACGCGUGGGAAUCUGCCCUUGGGUACGGAAUAACUCAGAGAAAUUUGUGCUAAUACCGUAUAAUGUCUUCGGACCAAAGAUUUAUCGCCCAAGGAUGAGCCCGCGUAAGAUUAGCUAGUUGGUGGGGUAAAAGCCUACCAAGGCGACGAUCUUUAGCUGGUCUGAGAGGAUGAUCAGCCACACUGGGACUGAGACACGGCCCAGACUCCUACGGGAGGCAGCAGUGGGGAAUAUUGGACAAUGGGCGAAAGCCUGAUGCAGCAAUGCCGCGUGAGUGAUGAAGGCCCUAGGGUUGUAAAGCUCUUUUACCAGGGAUGAAAAUGACAGUACCUGGAGAAUAAGCCCCGGCUAACUCCGUG
rnacentral:rRNA from 1 species